rnacentral:rRNA from 1 species
GGUUAAGCGACUAAGCGUACACGGUGGAUGCCCUGGCAGUCAGAGGCGAUGAAGGACGUGCUAAUCUGCGAUAAGCGUCGGUAAGGUGAUAUGAACCGUUAUAACCGGCGAUUUCCGAAUGGGGAAACCCAGUGUGUUUCGACACACUAUCAUUAACUGAAUCCAUAGGUUAAUGAGGCGAACCGGGGGAACUGAAACAUCUAAGUACCCCGAGGAAAAGAAAUCAACCGAGAUUCCCCCCAGUAGCGGCGAGCGAACGGGGAGGAGCCCAGAGCCUGAAUCAGUGUGUGUGUUAGUGGAAGCGUCUGGAAAGGCGCGCGAUACAGGGUGACAGCCCCGUACACAAAAAUGCACAUGCUGUGAGCUCGAUGAGUAGGGCGGGACACGUGGUAUCCUGUCUGAAUAUGGGGGGACCAUCCUCCAAGGCUAAAUACUCCUGACUGACCGAUAGUGAACCAGUACCGUGAGGGAAAGGCGAAAAGAACCCCGGCGAGGGGAGUGAAAAAGAACCUGAAACCGUGUACGUACAAGCAGUGGGAGCACAGAGCAAUCUGUGUGACUGCGUACCUUUUGUAUAAUGGGUCAGCGACUUAUAUUCUGUAGCAAGGUUAACCGAAUAGGGGAGCCGAAGGGAAACCGAGUCUUAACUGGGCGUUAAGUUGCAGGGUAUAGACCCGAAACCCGGUGAUCUAGCCAUGGGCAGGUUGAAGGUUGGGUAACACUAACUGGAGGACCGAACCGACUAAUGUUGAAAAAUUAGCGGAUGACUUGUGGCUGGGGGUGAAAGGCCAAUCAAACCGGGAGAUAGCUGGUUCUCCCCGAAAGCUAUUUAGGUAGCGCCUCGUGAAUUCAUCUCCGGGGGUAGAGCACUGUUUCGGCAAGGGGGUCAUCCCGACUUACCAACCCGAUGCAAACUGCGAAUACCGGAGAAUGUUAUCACGGGAGACACACGGCGGGUGCUAACGUCCGUCGUGAAGAGGGAAACAACCCAGACCGCCAGCUAAGGUCCCAAAGUCAUGGUUAAGUGGGAAACGAUGUGGGAAGGCCCAGACAGCCAGGAUGUUGGCUUAGAAGCAGCCAUCAUUUAAAGAAAGCGUAAUAGCUCACUGGUCGAGUCGGCCUGCGCGGAAGAUGUAACGGGGCUAAACCAUGCACCGAAGCUGCGGCAGCGACACUGUGUGUUGUUGGGUAGGGGAGCGUUCUGUAAGCCUGUGAAGGUGUGCUGUGAGGCAUGCUGGAGGUAUCAGAAGUGCGAAUGCUGACAUAAGUAACGAUAAAGCGGGUGAAAAGCCCGCUCGCCGGAAGACCAAGGGUUCCUGUCCAACGUUAAUCGGGGCAGGGUGAGUCGACCCCUAAGGCGAGGCCGAAAGGCGUAGUCGAUGGGAAACAGGUUAAUAUUCCUGUACUUGGUGUUACUGCGAAGGGGGGGACGGAGAAGGCUAUGUUGGCCGGGCGACGGUUGUCCCGGUUUAAGCGUGUAGGCUGGUUUUCCGGUGCAAAUCCGGAAAAUCAAGGCUGAGGCGUGAUGACGAGGCACUACGGUGCUGAAGCAACAAAUGCCCUGCUUCCAGGAAAAGCCUCUAAGCAUCAGGUAACAUCAAAUCGUACCCCAAACCGACACAGGUGGUCAGGUAGAGAAUACCAAGGCGCUUGAGAGAACUCGGGUGAAGGAACUAGGCAAAAUGGUGCCGUAACUUCGGGAGAAGGCACGCUGAUAUGUAGGUGAAGUCCCUCGCGGAUGGAGCUGAAAUCAGUCGAAGAUACCAGCUGGCUGCAACUGUUUAUUAAAAACACAGCACUGUGCAAACACGAAAGUGGACGUAUACGGUGUGACGCCUGCCCGGUGCCGGAAGGUUAAUUGAUGGGGUCAGCGCAAGCGAAGCUCUUGAUCGAAGCCCCGGUAAACGGCGGCCGUAACUAUAACGGUCCUAAGGUAGCGAAAUUCCUUGUCGGGUAAGUUCCGACCUGCACGAAUGGCGUAAUGAUGGCCAGGCUGUCUCCACCCGAGACUCAGUGAAAUUGAACUCGCUGUGAAGAUGCAGUGUACCCGCGGCAAGACGGAAAGACCCCGUGAACCUUUACUAUAGCUUGACACUGAACAUUGAGCCUUGAUGUGUAGGAUAGGUGGGAGGCUUUGAAGUGUGGACGCCAGUCUGCAUGGAGCCGACCUUGAAAUACCACCCUUUAAUGUUUGAUGUUCUAACGUGGACCCGUGAUCCGGGUUGCGGACAGUGUCUGGUGGGUAGUUUGACUGGGGCGGUCUCCUCCUAAAGAGUAACGGAGGAGCACGAAGGUUGGCUAAUCCCCGGUCGGACAUCAGGAGGUUAGUGCAAUGGCAUAAGCCAGCUUGACUGCGAGCGUGACGGCGCGAGCAGGUGCGAAAAGCAGGUCAUAGUGAUCCGGUGGUUCUGAAUGGAAGGGCCAUCGCUCAACGGAUAAAAGGUACUCCGGGGAUAACAGGCUGAUACCGCCCAAGAGUUCAUAUCGACGGCGGUGUUUGGCACCUCGAUGUCGGCUCAUCACAUCCUGGGGCUGAAGUAGGUCCCAAGGGUAUGGCUGUUCGCCAUUUAAAGUGGUACGCGAGCUGGGUUUAGAACGUCGUGAGACAGUUCGGUCCCUAUCUGCCGUGGGCGCUGGAGAACUGAGGGGGGCUGCUCCUAGUACGAGAGGACCGGAGUGGACGCAUCACUGGUGUUCGGGUUGUCAUGCCAAUGGCACUGCCCGGUAGCUAAAUGCGGAAGAGAUAAGUGCUGAAAGCAUCUAAGCACGAAACUUGCCCCGAGAUGAGUUCUCCCUGACCCUUUAAGGGUCCUGAAGGAACGUUGAAGACGACGACGUUGAUAGGCCGGGUGUGUAAGCGCAGCGAUGCGUUGAGCUAACCGGUACUAAUGAACCGUGAGGCUUAACCUU